UACGAAGGGGGCUAGCGUUGCUCGGAAUCACUGGGCGUAAAGCGCACGUAGGCGGACUCUUAAGUCGGUGGUGAAAUCCUGGAGCUCAACUCCAGAACUGCCUUCGAUACUGAGAGUCUCGAGUCCGGGAGAGGCGAGUGGAACUGCGAGUGUAGAGGUGAAAUGCGUAGAUAUCUGCAGGAACACCCGUGGCGAAAGCGGCGCGCUGGACCACUACUGACGCUGAGGAACGAAAGCUAGGGGAGCAAACAGG
rnacentral:rRNA from 1 species